ensembl:snRNA U6 U6 spliceosomal RNA
GUGCUCGCUUCGGCAGCACAUAUACUAAAAUUGGAACGAUACAGAGAAGAUUAGCAUGGCCCCUGCACAAGAAUGACAUGCAAAAAGUCAAAAGCUUGAAGAAGUUUU